CUCAGAUCGUUCUCUGUAUGUGCUUGUCAUUAGAGCAACAAGACAAUUAUGUGAUUGUUGGAAUUAAUUCUUAUAGUUCCAUUGAACUUGCUGCCCUAACCUUUGCAAAGAGCAGAAAGUAUCAAGGCGAUAAAGGAACGCAGUAGGAGCACACAGGCAUCCCACCCCCGUGCCAAGGAAUGAAUGGUGUGUGCGAUAUACCAAACUGACUUGCUGAUCACUGGACUUGUUUACAUGGCAGUCAGCAUAUGGAGGGUUAACUACAGCUGCAAUAGGAAGGCAGUUUUGACUGUUCUGUCAAUACUCUUCAAAUAUAUGGGAAAAAAACACCCAAACUCCCAAG
rnacentral:lncRNA from 1 species